rnacentral:rRNA from 1 species
GGGAGACUGUGAAGCUUGGACGCUAGUUCAGGUGGAGUCAUUGUUGAAAUACCACUCUGGUCAUAUUGGAUAUCUAACUUCGAACCGUAAUCCGGUUCAGGGACAGUGCAUGGUGGGUAGUUUAACUGGGGCGGUUGCCUCCCAAAAAGUAACGGAGGCGCCCAAAGGUUCCCUCAACCUGGUUGGUAAUCAGGUGUCGAGUGUAAGUGCACAAGGGAGCUUGACUGUGAGACUGACAAGUCGAGCAGGGACGAAAGUCGGGACUAGUGAUCCGGCAGUGGCUUGUGGAAGCGCUGUCGCUCAACGGAUAAAAGGUACCUCGGGGAUAACAGGCUGAUCUUGCCCAAGAGUCCAUAUCGACGGCAUGGUUUGGCACCUCGAUGUCGGCUCGUCGCAUCCUGGGGCUGGAGUAGGUCCCAAGGGUUGGGCUGUUCGCCCAUUAAAGCGGUACGCGAGCUGGGUUUAGAACGUCGUGAGACAGUUCGGUCCCUAUCCUCUGCGCGCGCAGGAAAUUUGAGAAGAUCUAUCCCUAGUACGAGAGGACCGGGAUGGACGAACCUCUGGUGUGUCAGUUGUUCCGCCAGGAGCACCGCUGAUUAGCUACGUUCGGAAUGGAUAACCGCUGAAAGCAUCUAAGCGGGAAGCCAGCUUCGAGAUGAGAUUUCCAUGGCUUAGGCCGAGAGACUCGCAGCUAGACUACUGCGUUGAUAGGCUGGAUGUGGAAGCAGGGACUAACGACCUGUGGAGCUGACCAGUACUAAUAAGUCGAUAAAUUGAUAACA